UACGUCAAUAUUUAGCUACAAUGGGAGUCUGCGUUUUAAGAACCAUCAAGAACAUAAGAUUUCUCAUAACGCCACUUCAUCAUCAUUUCGCUAUUGUUAUUUAUAAUUGGGGGGGGUGGAUUCAACUUGAAAAACAUUUUUACCCUUAAAUGCGUUAUAAAAAAAAUACAAAACCACUUUAUUGAAAUUAAUGUGCUGGUAUAAUUAAGGUGCUUUUUAAAGGUAUCAGAAAGUGAAAACAUGGCGCCAGAUAACGAGUAGGAGUUCCAGCCCACAAGCUGGAAUGUGGAUGAUCACCCCGGGUCCCCACGUGCUGAAGGCUACCGGUGGUUGGUGGUGGUGGUGGUGGUCCCGUUGCUCUCUCUCCCAUCUUGUGUGUCCUUUGGGGAAGGGGGAGGGGAGAAGGGUGAAAGAAUUACUUCCAGGGCACAUCAACUCGUUUCCUCAUCACCCUAACUGCCUCUCCGGCACCACUUCCCAGCCCCUCCACAGGCUGCCAACGGUCCCACCGCCGAGCCCGCAGGGUGAACGUGUUUGUGCACAGCGCCGGACUUCUUCUGUUAGGAUCCUAUAAAGCAAACAGAAACUGGACAAGAAUAGAUGAUAGAGAAACAGAAGGUCUGAAGAUGGAUGAGCCCUGUAGACCAUGCAGGAAAAGCCCUCACAUGCACAGCAGCAGCCACCACUCCCCUGCAUGUUUCUGGCUACCACACACCUAAUCAGUCCUGAUUAGAUGCACUGUGAGGGACGAGGAAGCCAGAAGUUUCCUUUGAGAAGUUCUGAUGACAGGACAGAAGAAAGCAAUGGGCUCCCUUAAAUAAAGCCUUCAUCAGGCUCUGGGAAGAAACAUGUGGCUCUGUUUAUGGCAGGGUAUACCAGUGUUCUGUUCUCCAACUGAUCUUGCAGUGUCAUCUUGAUUUACCUCCUUCCUUUAGCACGCUUUACUUCACAGCUAUUACUUUAACACCGUCAGCUUCAUAUAGACGCACGCUCAAGCUCCUCUCUUGAAGAGUCGAAAAAGGAAAUGAAACUGAUAAAACCUUGGAUAGUGAGGAAGAGCUGCACAAAAACUAAAAUGCAAAAAAAGUUAGGUGAACAUUUUUAUGUUUGUUUGAUUGUUGUGAUCCUGUCACCUCAAGGAAGUCUCACGCUCUCUCUCCCUGUCUCACCAACUUUUUGUCUUUUUCUCAAACUCCGGCAGUGAGUUGUG
ensembl:lncRNA